AUUGAACGCUGGCGGCAGGCCUAACACAUGCAAGUCGAACGAGUGGCGGACGGGUGAGUAAUGUCUGGGAAACUGCCUGAUGGAGGGGGAUAACUACUGGAAACGGUAGCUAAUACCGCAUACCAUCAGAUGUGCCAAGAUGGGAGUAGCUAGUUGGUGGGGUAACGGCUCACGAAGGCGACGAUCCCUAGCUGGUCUGAGAGGAUGACAGGCCACACUGGAACUGAGGCACGGUCCAGAGUCCUACGGGAGGCAGCAGUGGGGAAUAUUGCACGAUGGGCGCAGGCCUGAUGCAGCCAUGCCGCGUGUAUGAAGAAGGCCUUCGGGUUGUAAAGUACUUUCAGCGGGGAGGCGUUACCCGCAGAAGAAGCACCGGCUAACUCCGUGCCAGCAGCCGCGGUAAUUC
rnacentral:rRNA from 1 species